GGUGGCACAGCUCAGUAGAGCACAUGCCUAGCAUGCAUGAGGUCCUGGGUUCAGUCCCCAGUGCCUCCA
rnacentral:tRNA from 1 species